rnacentral:rRNA from 1 species
GACAGAGGGUGCAAACGUUGUUCGGAAUUACUGGGCGUAAAGCGUGUGUAGGCGGUCUCAAAAGUCGGAUGUGAAAGCCCCGGGCUCAACCCGGGAAGUGCAUUCGAAACUGCGAGGCUAGAGUAUCGGAGAGGUUGGUGGAAUUCUCGGUGUAGAGGUGAAAUUCGUAGAUAUCGGGAGGAACACCAAUGGCGAAGGCAGCUCGCUGGGACGGUACUGACGCUGAGGCGCGAAAGCGUGGGGAGCAAACCGG